GAAUAGGGUUUAAGUACCCUAAUAAAAGCACCUGAUCCCAUCUGGUCUUGGAAGCUAAGCAGGGUCAGUCCUGUUUAGUACUUGGAUGGGAGACUGACAACAAAUACCAGCUACUGUAGGCU
rnacentral:rRNA from 1 species